UGGGGAAUUUUGGACAAUGGGCGAAAGCCUGAUCCAGCAAUGCCGCGUGUGUGAAGAAGGCCUUCGGGUUGUAAAGCACUUUUGUCCGGAAAGAAAUCCUUGGCUCUAAUACAGUCGGGGGAUGACGGUACCGGAAGAAUAAGCACCGGCUAACUACGUGCCAGCAGCCGCGGUAAUACGUAGGGUGCAAGCGUUAAUCGGAAUUACUGGGCGUAAAGCGUGCGCAGGCGGUUUGCUAAGACCGAUGUGAAAUCCCCGGGCUCAACCUGGGAACUGCAUUGGUGACUGGCAGGCUAGAGUAUGGCAGAGGGGGGUAGAAUUCCACGUGUAGCAGUGAAAUCCGUAGAGAUGUGGAGGAAUACCGAUGGCGAAGGCAGCCCCCUGGGCCAAUACUGACGCUCAUGCACGAAAGCGUGGGGAGCAAACAGGAUUAGAUACCCUGGUAGUCCACGCCCUAAACGAUGUCAACUAGUUGUUGGGGAUUCAUUUCCUUAGUAACGUAGCUAACGCGUGAAGUUGACCGCCUGGGGAGUACGGUCGCAAGAUUAAAACUCAAAUGAAUUGACGGGGUCAUAGCUGUUUCC
rnacentral:rRNA from 1 species